GCCUACCCACACCUUCAUCACAAGUACGUUUUUACACUCUAUAAUCACCAUACACAUAUCGCUGAUCAUUUUCAACACACUUAUUUGCUCUAUACUUCCGCAUCACAACUCAAUUGGAACUUCAUCAAACCUGCAAAUCGUCCGUUGGAUUAUCGAGCUAUCUUUCAAUCAAUCGAUCAUCAAGCAGUAUCAUUAUUGUUUAUAUACUUAAGUAUUACAUAUUCCAUUCAAUCAUUCAUAACAUUGCUUAAGUAUUAUACACAUAUAUAUAGGGCAAGCAUCAGGUGUGCCAUAUAUGUAUCAUUCGUUGUAGACCGUCGGAUGACUCAUCCUACGGUCAGCAGAAAUACCUCGAGAUCCUAGCCACCAUUGUACAUCAUUCAGUUGUUAAUGUAUGAUACCAUCAUAUCCAUUAAUUUACUCAUCAUACGUUCCACAAGAAACGACAGAUAAAUGGCACACCUGGAAAUGGCACACCUGAUACAAUUCCUAUAUAUAUAAUUGUUUAAUUAUAUAAACCAUUCCAAAACUCUAUCAAAAAGUAACGAACAACCCGACGAUCCUUGUGAUUGCGAUGGACCGGACGUUCCAAAUAGAUUCCCAGUUGAGAGAGAGGAGAAAAGAUUGCCACCUAAGGCGGAAUGAAGCAAAGUUGGAUGUAGAACCAAACCUGAAUGGUGAAGAAGACGCCGUCGUUUCCGUAGUCAUCGACGAAGAAACAGUACUAGUGUCACUACUCGCAAUGCCGAAGGAGAAAGACGACGUCAUCUCCGUCGAGCAGUUAGUUAUUCCGUUGCAGAUUUCUGAAAUUCAGAUCGAAGAGAUUUAUGGGUUUUAUACGGGUUUUAUAAACCGGAUCUAAACUAAAACCCGAAUAAAAUUCUUAUCUCUUAGUCCACUUUCCAGUUCCCUUCAGGCUUUUCCAUUUCUUGUUUAUCGACCGA
rnacentral:lncRNA from 1 species